AUCCCAUGAGAUGGAAUUUCCUCAACAUUUCCUUGUAUCGCUCCCACGCGUCAUACAAAGAUUCAAACUCUAGUUGAACAAAGGAUGAGAUGUCAUUCCUAAACUU